AGGUUUCAACUUCGUUCAAAGGGUCAACCAACGACAUCACAAAUCCGUGCAAAUCCUCCAUCUUCGCCAAGCGAAGCAAACUUCGUUAACCAUGUGAUUCGACCGCCACUUCAAAAUCGUCUAGAACUACAAUUUACGAGCAGCGCGUGCAUACGAUGCUGAUAAACGCGACUCCCUUUAAUGACCCAUUCCUAGUCCACCCCGUGGAUGGACCUCAUCGUCUUCUCCUUCCCACUUUCUUUCUCCCCCUAUCUUUAUGCAGAUGGCGGAGACCGCGGUUAAUUUCCAACCUCCUCGAUGGCCUCGUUCAUUCUAAUUUCCCCUCGAACGUCCCUGAUUGGAGUCCACAACUGAUUUGCACCUGCAUCCACGCUCACGUGGACACACGUGUUUCAUUUCGAGGAAUAAUAUCUCCGACAAAAAAAUUUUUUAUUUUUUCCGGCUAUUGUUGCCACGCAUUCUUCCUGCUCGAUGAAAAGAAUUCCAUGGUUCGAUUAUUAUUUUUAUUGGAAAAAUGAUACACACGUUUCUUGGAAUAAGAAAAUGUGAUACGGAAUUUAUUAUUCCAGGAAAAUGGUACGUGUCGUGUUUUGAAAACAUUCUGUUUCGUUUGUAUAUGAGUAUAAGUGGAACUAUAAAUUUGAAAUUUUGGUUAUGGGGAUAUGUUUACUUGAAAAUGUAAUACAAGAAGAUAUAUUAUUCUAUAUUGUGUGAAAUUUGGAUAGAUUGUUCUACAUUGUACGGGUCACUUGUUUCCAAAAUGGCAAUGAAUGAUAUAUUCUACUGUUGAAUAUUUUUAGGUAAAGUAGAUAGAAGAUCUUGGUACUUUUCUGUUAUACAUAUUGUGAAUGAUAAAUGUGUGAUAUGUUUAAAAAAUAGUUCAGGGGAAUUUAUUUUCAAAAAAGAAAUUUAUUAAUUGCGCAGAAAAUUUCUAGCAUUUAAUCCAGGUCGUGCAAAAAAGAACUCAAUUUCACCGACAAGAGAAAAGCAUUAAAAUAGAAGCAUUAUUUCUGAGAAAGUUGGCAUUCCCACUGACUCGCUUAAUAUUUUCUUCUCAGAAUCCAAAGAGUUACUAUUUUUCCGCCGCACCUGCAUCAGUGCUUUUCAAAAAGAAAAAAAAAAUUGUUAAGAGUAAACCGUUUUACGAAGGAGAACGAUACAUGAAAAAGUAAACGAGAGGAUCGAGAAGAGCGAAUCUCGAUUCUCCUUCGAAGAUGUAGGUGGAGUCAAGAGAGAGUAGAUUAUCUUGCCAGACGGCGAAAUGGUAAAGUUCUACGUGUCGGAGAGCAAAGACGAAGCUGGAGAAUGCUAUUCGUGAGAGGAAAAGAGAGACAGAGAAAGAAAUCUAACUAUUUUAGAAAGCAGAAUAGAAAAA